ACGGCGAGUGAAGCGGUAACAGCUCAAAUUUGAAAUCUGGGCCUUUUAGGCCCCGAGUUGUAAUUUGUAGAAGAUGCUUCGGGUGCGGCUCCGGUCUAAGUUCCUUGGAACAGGACGUCAUAGAGGGUGAGAACCCCGUAUGUGAUCGGUAGCCUGCGCCCGUGUGAAGCUCUUUCGACGAGUCGAGUUGUUUGGGAAUGCAGCUCCAAAUGGGUGGUAUAUUUCAUCUAAAGCUAAAUAUUGGCCAGAGACCGAUAGCGCACAAGUAGAGUGAUCGAAAGAUGAAAAGCACUUUGGAAAGAGAGUUAAACAGUACGUGAAAUUGUUGAAAGGGAAGCGCUUGCAACCAGACUUGCGUGUUGCUGAUCAUCCGGGGUUCUCCCCGGUGCACUCGGCCUCACUCAGGCCAGCAUCGGUUUCGGUGGUUGGAUAAAGACCUUGGGAAUGUAGCUCCUCUCGGGGAGUGUUAUAGCCCUCGGUGCAAUGCAGCCUACCGGGACCGAGGACCGCGCUUCGGCUAGGAUGCUGGCGUAAUGGUUGUAAGCGACCCGUCUUGAAACACGGACCAAGGAGUCUAACAUCUAUGCGAGUGUUUGGGUGUCAAACCCAUACGCGUAAUGAAAGUGAACGGAGGUGAGAACCCUUAAGGGUGCAUCAUCGACCGAUCCUGAUGUCUUCGGAUGGAUUUGAGUAAGAGCAUAGCUGUUGGGACCCGAAAGAUGGUGAACUAUGCCUGAAUAGGGUGAAGCCAGAGGAAACUCUGGUGGAGGCUCGCAGCGGUUCUGACGUGCAAAUCGAUCGUC
rnacentral:rRNA from 1 species